UACGGGGGGGGCAAGCGUUGUUCGGAAUUACUGGGCGUAAAGGGCUCGUAGGCGGCCAACUAAGUCAGACGUGAAAUCCCUCAGCUUAACCGGGGAACUGCAUCUGAUACUGGAUGGCUUGAGUUCGGGAGAGGGAUGCGGAAUUCCAGGUGUAGCGGUGAAAUGCGUAGAUAUCUGGAGGAACACCGGUGGCGAAGGCGGCAUCCUGGACCGACACUGACGCUGAGGAGCGAAAGCCAGGGGAGCAAACGGG
rnacentral:rRNA from 1 species